GACGAACGCUGGCGGCGUGCUUAACACAUGCAAGUCGAACGAAGUGGCGAACGGGUGAGUAACGCGUAAUCAACCUGCCCUUCAGAGGGGGACAACAGUUGGAAACGACUGCUAAUACCGCAUACUGAAGGAGGGGAUUGCGUCUGAUUAGCUAGUGGGAGGGGUAACGGCCCACCAAGGCGAUGAUCAGUAACCGGUCUGAGUGUAUGAACGGCCACAUUUGGAAUGAUGCACGGCCCAGACGCCUUCGGGAGGCAGCAGUGGGGAAUCUUUCGCAAUUGACGAAAGUCUGACGGAGCAACGCCGCGUGAGUGAUGACGGCCUUCGGGUUGUAAAGCUCUGUGAAUCGGGACGCGGUACCGGAAUAGAAAGCCACGGCUAACUACGUGCCAGCAGCCGCGGUAAUAC
rnacentral:rRNA from 1 species